rnacentral:rRNA from 1 species
AUGAGCGCCCGCAAGUGGGACGAGCCGCCCUACGCGUGUGCGUGGCAUCCACGGCCAUGCGCCAGUACAAGGAGGCGUCCUGGUUGUGCUUCUUUCUUCUGGUCCAUGGACAUUGUCAUAAUGGUCACCUUAUCGCAGUGUAUUAUUUUUGGAUCUCAUAUUCCUCAAGGCGCUCCAUCCUCUGAUUUGAUGUCGGCCGAUCUGAGAAAUAAGAGGAGGAAUAAUCCAGCAGAAGAAUUUGGUGAAGAAGAACAAGAAAAUAAUACCUUUAUCCUGAUAGGCAUGGAAACACCAGUUCGCAUUGAGUGCAUCAUCGCUAAUUAG